rnacentral:misc_RNA from 1 species
ACUUCAUUCUCUUCAUCCAACAUGUCAGCUCCCUUGCGUUUUGACGGAAAGGUUGUUUUAGUGACUGGCGCUGGAAAUGGACUGGGACGUGAGUACGCCUUGGCCUUUGCUGAACGUGGAGCAUCAGUAGUCGUAAACGAUUUGGGAGGAAAUUUCAAAGGUGAAGGAAAGAGUUCCCGUGCUGCUGACAUAGUGGUGGAGGAAAUCCGGGCUAAAGGAGGAAAAGCUGUUGCUAACUAUGACUCGGUGGAAGAGGGAGAGAAGCUAGUAAGGACAGCCCUGGAGAAUUUUGGUCGCAUUGAUGUAGUUGUAAACAAUGCCGGAAUCCUGAGGGAUCGUUCCUUUGCUCGGAUCAGUGACCAGGACUGGGACUUGAUUCACAAAGUCCACCUGAGAGGCUCUUUCCAAGUGACUAGGGCAGCAUGGCCUCACAUGAAAAAGAACAACUAUGGAAGAAUCAUCAUGGUGGCCUCUGCUGCUGGUAUCUAUGGCAACUUCGGACAGGCUAACUACAGCGCAGCCAAGCUCGGACUUCUGGGACUGGGGAAUACUCUGGCCAUCGAGGGGAAGAAGAGCAACAUCUUUUGUAACACGAUCGCUCCCAUAGCUGGAUCCAGAAUGACAGAAACCGUAAUGCCACCUGAUUUAGUGGAGGCGCUGAAGCCCGAGUACGUGUCUCCUCUUGUUCUGUAUCUGUGUCACGAAUCUUGCGAAGAAAAUGGGUCAUUAUUUGAACUUGGAGCAGGAUGGAUAGGAAAAUUGAGAUGGGAAAGAACAAAGGGGAGUGUUUGUCGAGAGCCAGGGAAGAAGAUGACCCCGGAGGAUGGUAAGUAUUACUUGAUACAGGUAGAUAAAUUGUGGGACAGGUGGUAGAACUAAUCAACUAGUCCCAUCAACCUGCAUGUAGAUAUCAAAGUAACAUGUGGGUAAUGAUGAUUAGAUAGAAAUCAUUAAAAAAAGAAAUAUUUUUACAGCUGUACUAGUAUUGUUUUAUACAAUGUACUGGAACAUAUAUAUAUACAUGUAUAUUGAUUUUUGUAUCAUUAAAUACAUGCAUACUCAUCUGCUGUUGCCGUUUAUUUGACAUCAUUGACUUUUUAUUAUAUUUUACAUUUUAGUUCGUGACAACUGGGACAAAAUCACAGACUUCAGGAACUCCACCCAUCCCACUAGUACUACAGCGUCCUCGGCCGAAAUGUUCAACAUUCUGAAGGAUUUGGAGAACCAGAAACCAUCACGAUCUUCUCCUUCCUCUGGCGGCAUGGACAUAGAAGCGGCAAAAGCUCAUCGAGCCCCGCCCACUGAGUUCAGUUACACAGAACGGGACGUCAUUCUAUACGCACUUGGAAUUGGCUCUUCCACCAAGGAGGAGGACUAUUUGAAGUUCCUGUUUGAGGGGGCUGGUGACUUCUGUGUCAUUCCAAGCUUCGCUGUCAUUCCUGCAUUUAGUUCACAGACAGGGAUGAUGGUUGGCGGAAUGCCAGGAUUCCAGAUUGAUUUGACAAAGGUGCUUCAUGGGGAGCAGUACACUGAGUUGUACAAACCCCUACCCCCCAGGGCCACUCUGACCUCCAGGAGUCGCGUAGUGGACAUUCUGGACAAGGGCUCGGGGGCUGUCCUCAUCGUCAAUGUGGAAACAUUUGACGAGAAAAAUGAAAAGGUUGCCUUUAACCAGUUCAGUACCUUUGUGGUGGGGGCGGGGAAGUUUGGGGGAAAGAGGAACUCUGAUGAAGCCAAACCAACAGCUAAUCCCCCAAAACGACCCCCCGACGCCAGCAUCAGUGAAAAGACUGGCAUUGAUCAGGCAGCUCUGUACAGACUGAGCGGGGACAGAAAUCCACUGCACAUUGACCCAAGCUUUGCUGCAAUGGGAGGUUUCUCUCAGCCCAUUCUACAUGGACUGUGUAGCUUUGGCUAUGCCACCAGGCAUGUUCUACGCCAGUACUGCAACAAUGAUGUGUCUAAAUUUAAGGCUAUCAAGGUGAGGUUCUCCAAGCCUGUGUUACCUGGACAGACCAUACAGACAGACAUGUGGAAGGAGGGGAGUCGGGUCUUCUUCCAGUGCAAGGUUGUAGAAAAUGGCAGUAUCAGUUUGUCCGGUUCUUACAUAGAUCUCCAUGAAGGAGGGGCACCCACAAAGUCACUAUCCUCAGGGAGUCUUCAGACUGAUGCUCUGUUCAAUGACAUGGCACAGCGUGCCUCAUCCCAGCCAGAACUAGCCAAGAAAAUCAACGCCAUCUUCCUGUUUGAGAUCACAAAAGACAAGAAAAUAGCAGCUAAAUGGACGGCUGACAUGAAGACUGGAGGAGGGGUGUACAAAGGGGAACCCAAACAGGGAAAGGCCGACUGUACACUGACCAUUGACGACGGGGCCAUGAUGGACAUGGCGGCAGGAAAGCUUGAUGGACAGACGGCUUUUAUGAAAGGAAUCUUGAAGUUAAAGGGAAACAUGAUGUUGGCACAAAAGCUAGGUGAACUUCUAAAACCAGCUCCAGCUGGUUCCACCCAAACCUCAAAGUCAUCAUCUGGUGGCUCUAGUCUGUUGAGUGAUGCUUUGUUUGAGGAUAUGGCCAAGCGGGCAAAAUCCCAACCUAAUGUAGCCAAGAAAAUCAAUGCAGUGUUCCUGUUUGAUAUCACAAAGGAUGGCAAACCUGCUGCAAAAUGGACGGCUGACAUGAAGACAGGAGCAGGAGUGUACAAAGGGGAACCCAAACAGGGAAAGGCCGACUGUACGCUGACCAUUGACGAUAAAAACAUGGUGGACAUGGCAUCAGGAAAACUGAACGGACAAACGGCUUUCAUGAAAGGUCUUUUGAAACUAAAAGGCAAUAUGAUGCUGGCUCAGAAGCUAGGUUCUCUGUUCGGAGAAACCUCCAAACUCUAAACUUGUGUGACUGAAACCAGUGCUUAAUGAGUGGGACCAUUUUUCCUAAAUUGUGUAUUUAAUACUGACAAUCAAUUUGUUGCGUUAAAUGAGAAGUCAUGAAAUCAAAGUAUUGAAUGUAAAUGGGCAAAUGAACAUGCUUUGGCUGAGUCUGUAUCAUAUAUAAACUGGUAUUUUACAUAUUAUAAGUGAUUAUUUAUGAAUGAAAUCUAAUCUGAAUGAUCUAUGAAUGAUUAUGAGGCUGCAUCUGUGAUAACAUUAUAAUUUUUAGAAUGAUAUUUCAUCAUUUUAUUGUAUAUUAUGAAGAUUUGAUUUGAAUAAACAUUUACCAUA